CAGCCUUGAUCUGUUUAUCAGUAACCAUGUCUUCACACGCCAUCAGGUUAAAUGUCAACUCACGUUGCCUGGCAGGUGAAACACAAAUCUGUGGGAAUCUAAAUCAACAAACCCACGCUAAUUAUGACCGUGCUGAAGUAUGUUCGCAGUACCUGCGCCAGUGCCAACAGGAAGUUCAAUGUGUUGUCAUAGAAAUAAGAGCCCUGACUUCUACAACAGUGUUACAAGAGACGUACUUAGGCAGAGAUUAUAUAUGAUGCACUUCUAAAGAGCACAUCACUGUCUUUGGAGAACAUCUGCUAAUAGUGAGAUAUUUUGCUACGUUUUAUUGUUGUCUUUUAGCAUCAACAUAUUUGAUACGGAUUAUCUGGACUGUACUAUGGGGUGCAACUCAAGUAAAGAUACUGAGGUUGUGGAUUCAUCCAAAAAACCUAAAGACAGACCAGAAUCAGCCAACUCAUCAGACAAAGAAGAAGAGGACAGUGUCAAUGAAAUCUCACACACAGAGAAUAAUGAAGUUGAGACAGAAGACUGAUAAUGUCUUAAUUUUCUGGCUAUCUUCCUCAAGCUCCAAUGUUGCAGUUUAUUACCAGUCCGGCUGUGAUCGGCUAAGGAGAGUGUGAUGAGAUCUACACCAGCCUGUUACUUUAUAUGAUGUCUCUGAUCUCUACAUAUAUGUUCUCAUCUCAUCAUGUCACCUCUGUCUAUUAUACAUACUUCAAUCCCUUCAUUCUGUAUAUACCUGGUUUCUAGCAUGAUUAAACUGUUUGGCAAAGUGGCAAAGGUAAAAAACUAGAGCACUGGGAUUGACCUGUAAUAUCCUCAAAGACCACCAGAUGUCCCUCUUUCUCUAUUUAAAAUUUAAAUCUAUGUAAUUCUGACAAAUUUGACAAAACCUGAACAUUUGUUUGCAGCAUGAGACCACAAAAUUACAUAAAAUAACAAAUUUACUAGUCAAAUAAAAAAAACAAAAAACAAUGAAAAGUCAAAUUUAAACAAAAAGGAAUAAAUAAUAAAGAAUGAUAAAGACGACUAAUUGUGUUAUAAUGAGCCUAAAACAGCUAAAACAGGCUACUUUAGAAAGUGGUUUAAAAGAGUUUUCUGGGAACUUCUAUUGAUAGUUAUUGUUUUUAUACAGAGCUUAUGAUGUUUUUAUCACAAGUGCUGUAGAUUAAUUACAAAUUGUAGUCGGUUACUGAUUCCAAAUUACACGACAAACAUUUGUAGUUAGAAACAUAAUCCAAUAUACUACCAAUAUAUAUACUAUAUUUUGACUUUUUAGAUUACUUUUGACCUAACUUGUUUAUCACAUUGAUUUGAAUUGGAUAAUCUUGUACCAUAUUGACAAAAAUUCUAAGAAAAAUUAAAUAUAUUUUAUUCUUUGUUAUUAAGUGCAUUAAAUAUUACAUGUCAGAGUUUCCUAGACUGGGAUUCAUGAUAGAACUGCUGUGGGUUCAUAAGUUUAAUGAAAAGCUGUUAAUUAAAUCAUAAAAGAGUAAAAUUAAAAUAAAGAAUUUAAAAAUAAAAACAAAAAUUAAAAAAAAAAACACACACAAUUUUAUUAUUGACCUUAUUGAACUUAUUAAUUUGAAAUCUCAGGGGGUACUUCAAGUAAAUAUAUUAGGUAAAAGAGGUUCAGCUGACAAAAAAAAAAAAAGAAAAAAAAAAAAAAAGCUGUAGGUAUUCCUGAAAUGACGAAUGUUCAUUUUAAUGUGUUUGAAAGACAAAAGCCUUCCAAAGACAGUAAUACAUAAAUGGCUCACUGAGUGAUCAUUCAAAUAAUAAUUAAUGUGUUCCUCAGGAGAUGAUUAGAUAUGCAGCGUUGCAAUGUUGAGAAAUCACUUACAUUAUUUCUGUAAACCCAGUGAUCAAAUGCUGUGUGGUUCUCAGUUUUCAGUGAUAGGCACUUGACUGCAAUUUCACAAACCUGGAAGACCUUCUGAAUGUAUAUAAGCAGUAGGUUUUUUUAGAAAUGAAAAUUUUAACGAUCAGUGAAUUACGAAUAAUUUACUGCCAUUGUGAGAAUACAUGUAAUAAUGUAAUCUGUAUAAACUGUAGUCUGAUUAUGAGUAUUUUGAAAUGUAAUAUAAUCUAAUUACAAGUACUUAAAAUUUGGAA